UUAUUUUGACUUGAUCACCACGCAUAACCAACUCUGAAUUGGGUUAGCAUUCAUCUAAAUAAAUUCUAGAUGGAUACUCUAUCCCGACUUUUAUUUAUAGGUCUCAAAGAAUUUUAUCAAAACAAAGAUCCAUAAUUUGCCACAGUUAAUAUUUCAUAUGCUAGUGGCUCAAAUCCAUAUUUAGAGAUAUGGUUAAUCUGAAUUAAAUUUUCAAUGCUUAAUUUAAAAACAUAGCGACAUGGCAGUCGAAAUACAUCAGAAUGCUCAGUUUAAUGACAUGACGGUCAAAUUAUAUUUGAAUGCUCAGUUUAAUGACAUGGCGGUCAAAUUACAUCAAAUGCUCAGUUUAACGACAUGGCGGUCAAAUUACAUUUAAAUGCUCAGUUUAACGACAUGGCGGUCAAAUUACAUUUGAAUACUCAGUUUAAUGACAUGGUGGUCAAAUUACAUUUAAAUGCUCGUGGGAUAAAAAUUCUACAAUUUAUUCCUGAAGUCCAAUGUAACCCAUAUUGUC
rnacentral:lncRNA from 1 species